CGGAUUUCAAUGACUUUGGAUGAUUCGGAAAACGCUUCAAUCGUCUAUAACUUUCGUUCAUGUUGCAUCCUCAUAUCAUGAUUGGAAAUAUUUUUGAAAAAUUGAAUUUUAAACUAAAAAAAUGAUCUUUUAAUAAUUGUACUUUAGAAAAAAAGUGAAGUUGUCCCAUUGAUAAAAAAAUCAUCGAGGAACAACGAUGAGAUUCACGUGGUGGAUAAAAAUGAUCAAAGAAGAUAUGAUAAUUGGGGAGUAUGAUAAUGGCAAAAAAUAAUUCAAAUUAAGAUUGACUCUGUUGGAUUUCAAUAAUAAAAGUCCAUAACAUAAAAGGGCCUUGAGAAGGCCCAGAGGCCAGAGGAUUAAAGCAACAAUUCAGCGACAGAAAAAAGAGGAGAGAACAUUUGUAAAUAUCUUUCUACAGAGAGAUGCAAAGAGGAAAUAAAAAAAAACCUAAUUCCAACAUGCGGCGCUCGAAGAAGGGUAAGUAUUCAAUUUUUCUUCAUACAUUCUCGUUUAUCAUCCUUUCUAAUUGAUUAUCAAGAUAUUGUUCUAUCACAACUAUCGAUUGCGUUUCCAAGUGAAAUUUGUAAAGGGUUUGUCAUUGGGGCGUUUGUAUGGUUUAAGUUCUCUGCAUCAAAACGAAGUUGAUAUUUGAAGAGAUUUUCCUCUCCGAUUUGUGGCUCUGUUGAAGCUCUAGAGUGCCUCUUGGCUUGAUAAUAACUGAGUUAUGCAAUUGCUCACCAGGUAUUUGAUUUUUGUACUGAACUCCGUAUCUCUUUUACUCUACUUCGUAGAAUUCUGUUAAUAUUAAUAGUAUGACUUAACAUAAUAUUUGGUAAAUUUGUCAUAUAAAUGUGGUCGAAAUCAAUGAAUUUCAUUAAUUCGAAUGA